CAGCAGCCGCGGUAAUACGGAGGGGGCUAGCGUCGUUCGGAAUUACUGGGCGUAAAGCGCACGUAGGCGGCUUGGUAAGUUAGAGGUGAAAGCCUGGAGCUCAACUCCAGAAUUGCCUUUAAGACUGCCGAGCUAGCAGGUGAGAGAGGUAAGUGGAAUUCCGAGUGUAGAGGUGAAAUUCGUAGAUAUUCGGAAGAACACCAGUGGCGAAGGCGGCUUACUGGCUCAUACUGGACGCUGAGGUGCGAAAGCGUGGGGAGCAAACAGGAUUAGAUACCCCCGUAGUCCCUGUCUCUUAUAC
rnacentral:rRNA from 1 species